UGAGCCAGAAUGGACAGAGACGAGUGAAGACCCAAAGAUCUUCAACCAAGCUGGGCAAGUGUUCAACCAUUGAGCUACACCCCCGACCCUCCCUUCCGUUUGGCUGCAACAAUAAACCAGUUGUGUCUAGGAGAUCCAACACCAGUCAAGCCGCUCUACCCACUGAGCCAUCUGGCUGCCUGUCAAGAAGACAAACUUCUGUUGCGCAGUGCUCAGGCGCCUGUGAAGACAGGAACUUGGGGAUGAAUGAGGAGAGAGCCUAGAGAGAAAGGGACCCUCGUCUGGCGCAGAGUCCCUGAACAGAUUUGGACUGGCUUAGCAUGACCAGCAGUCUCAGCCAUAGGCGCGUUCUCUCUCUCUCUCUCUUCUCUCUCCUGCCUGUCCAGAAAUAGUUUCCGGGAACCGAGGUGCUUCCCCGCCAGCCAGCGGGGAGAUAAAGCUGCCCGUGUGUGUCGCUUGUCUUGGCUGCCUCUCAGUUGACACCUCUGACAGGCCGCUUUGAUCUCGGGUUAUCAAGGCCUAACCCCGAGCCUGGCCUGCUCUGCCAGCCCUCACUCACUGGGGAAAAGGGCAUUUCAGAAGGUCAGUUCGGGGAGGGGCAGGCUUCUCCUCAUGCCCAGCUGGCCUUGAAGCAUGGGUGCUGGAUGUAGGAAUUGUACCCAGUUUUACUCUGCAGCGGUGAUGGAUGGGGGCUGGAGGGAGAUGGGGGCAGGGUCUUGGCUGAGAAAUGAAGCAUUCAAGUGGUGCCUACAGCAUACGGGGUGUUUACUUCAUGUCCUCAUGGGCCUGGGCCUUCACCACAGAUAAAGAGUCCUGGCUGCUGAUUUAUUGGCCAGCCCAGUGUAUGGCUGGCAAGUUUCUCCUCAGACUCGGUUUCCACCCCCUAUCUGGUAAAAUAUAGAGGAUUUUUAUAACUAUGAACACCUCCUCCUCUAGACUAAACCUCUAGAGAACCAUUGUACAAACUGGGUGGAAGCAGAAAAGAGGCUGUCUGAGGAGAGGGGGCCUCUGAGACGAUAUCUCAGCUCUGUUAGUCAUUAAUCAUCAUCAUCAUCAUCACCAUCAUCAUCAUCAUCAUCGUGUUUGAGACAUGGUCUCAGUCCAGUCCAGACAGACCUCCAUCUGACUACUCUCCUGAAUGCCUAAGGCCCAGCAUAUACCACUACCUUCCGGGCUCUCAUUCUGUAAGAGAUGAAGAAUGAUGUGUGGUGAGACAUCCCUCACUGGAUAGAUGGAGGCUAGAGGCUCACAGGCAAAGGUCAUCUGUGGUUGCAGACAGGAUUCACUCAGAUGUCCUCAAAGAUCCUCCAGACUAGGAAGAGGAUAAAGCUGAAACCAGAAGAAAGAGUUGCUAAUAGCCCAUGGAUGGACUAAUCCUUUAACCCUGGAGUCAUUCUGGGAGUGGAGAGCUGGGCAAAAUAAAGCAAAUAAUAAAAUACAGGAGGGCCCCUGGCCCGGGGCGGUGGGGGUGAUGGGGGUUGGAGUCAUUCGCCUGUCAGGACCUAUAUCAACAUGUCAGCCGCUUGGACAAACAAGCGUUUUGAGGGGAAAUAUUUCAGAUAAACAGACACGAUGUUAUGACAUAUCACCCCCCCCACCCCGCUCCCAACCCUGGAAAAGGGGGUCCUCGGAGACCAAGGAGAAGAAGAAGGGAAGCAACGCCAUGCGGAGAUCUGUUUUCCCUGGCUUGAGGCCCCGAGGGUCAGCUGUAAAUAAAAUAGGUUUUUG
rnacentral:lncRNA from 1 species